AUUGAGAGUUUGAUCCUGGCUCAGGAUGAACGCUGGCGGCGUGGAUAAGGCAUGCAAGUCGAGCGGGCUGUUAUCUUCGGAUAAUAGUCAGCGGCGAACGGGUUAGUAACGCGUAGGUAUUUACCUCUGUCUCGGGCAUAACCCGCCGAAAGGCGGGCUAAUUCCCGAUAGUCUCUUUGGAGUAAAGAUUAAGAGCAAUCUUUUUUGGACAGAGAGAAGCCUGCGUCCUAUCAGCUUGUUGGUAGGGUAACGGCCUACCAAGGCGAUGACGGGUAGGGGGUGUGAGAGCAUGGCCCCCAACAAUGGGACUGCGAACGGCCCAUACACCUACGGGUGGCAGCAGUCGAGAAUCUUUGGCAAUGGGCGAAAGCCUGACCAAGCGACGCCGCGUGAACGAAGAAGCCCUUCGGGGUGUAAAGUUCUUUUAUUAGGGAAAAAUAGGAUUUUUCCUAUGAUGGUACCUAAUGAAUAAGGGGCUGCUAAACUCGUCCAGCAGCAGCGGUAAGACGAGUGCCCCAAGCGUUAUCCGGAAUUAUUGGGCGUAAAGCGUGAGUAGGCGGUUUUGAUAGUGGGUGGUUAAAUUUCGGGGCUCAACCCCGAAGCCGCCAUCCAAACGUCAAAACUAGAGCAGGUGAGAGGCUGAUGGAACCUACCAAGUAGGGGUGAAAUCCGUUGAUAUGGUAGGGAACACCAAAGGCGAAGGCAUUCAGCUGGCGCCUGGCUGACGCUGAAUCACGAAAGCGUGGGGAGAAAAAAGGAUUAGAUACCCUUGUAUUCCACGCCCUAAACGAUGCCAACUAGCCGUCGGGAGUAUCGACCCUCUCGGUGGCGAAGCUAACGCGUUAAGUUGGCCGCCUGGGAAUUACGGCCGCAAGGCUAAAACUCAAAGGAAUAGACGGGGAUUCGCACAAGCGGUGGACCAUGUGGUUCAAUUCGAUUCUAAGCGAGGAACCUUACCGGGGUUAGACUCCCUGAUGAAAAACUUGAGAAAUCAGGUUUGUCUUACAAGGACAUCAGGGUCAGGUGAUGCACGGUUAUUUUACCCCGAAUACAGUCGUCAGUCUGAGAUGUGAAUUGCUCCCUUAAGUGGGGUAUCAGACGCAACCCUUAUGCUGUGUUAUAUGUGUCACAGCAGACUGCCUCCGGAUAGGAGGAGGAAGGCGAGGAUGACGUCAAAUCAGCGUGUCCCUUAUGCCCCGGGCCACACACGUGGUACAAUGGCCGCUACAAAGGGUUUGCCAAGCCGCAAGGCGGAGCUAAUCCCAUCAAAAGCGGUCUCAGUUCGGAUUGAGGGCUGCAACUCGCCCUCAUGAAGCCGGAAUCGCUAGUAAUCGUGAAUCAGCCAUGUCACGGUGAAUACGUUCCCGAAUCUUGUACUCACUGCCCAUCAAUCUAGAAAAGUGGGGAAUACCCGAAAUCUUCAUUUAUUGGGGACUAAGGUAAGCUCCAUAAUUAGAGAUAAGUUGUAACAAGGCACCGGUAGCGGAAGCUGUCGGUGGAUCACCUCCUU
rnacentral:rRNA from 1 species